GCGUCUAGAUCUCUCUGACACUCGAGCUCCACUGCAGGGUAGCACCGCCCUGCCUGUGUGGGUUAUAUAGUGAGGGUUAUAUAGUGAACACACACACUGCUCCUAGUGACUGUUAUUCAGAAUACACACACAAACUGUGCGAGAGAGAGGUUCAAACCUGGGCUCUGUGUCAGAAAGCAGGUUUAACAAACUCUGAGUUUAAACCUGAACUCUGGGUUGACUAACUCUGAGCUGUCAAACUCUUGAGUUUUCGGUUUCAGAACAGGUCACAACAGUUAGUUCAAUCACCUCUGAGUAAAGUUAACCCUGAGUAAAGCACGUGCAUGAGGAGAUAAAAAGCCCUCAUCAAUGGAACGCAGAUAACAUGAUUCAUCAUGGCAACAGGAGAAAAAAAGGCUUGAACCUGUGAAUGCGUAUGCAGAAUCAACUGAAGAUGAAAUAUAAAAAUAUACUUCAAACAACCAACAGAAAAAAGGCUGAGGGCCAAAAACAGGUGGGGGUCCACCAUCACACCACUCAGAGGCUGAAGAGAUGGCCCUCACUCAAAACAUUACUGAUGGUGUUAUCUGUCUGGUGGAGCCUUCUGCCAUAACAGACCUCCAUGCAGUUGAGGAUGAUGAUGAAGACACCUUGUCAGCUGCCACAGAGAGGAGCAAUGCUGGAAAUUACAAUGAGGAAGAGGGUCCAUUCACCUCCACAGCACAACUUACCUCAGUAAGAUUGUAAGAACUUACCUCAGCAAGUUGUUCAGCCCAUGACUUACAAGCCCAUGACUUACAAUGAAACUACAUAGACCUGGUACUGUGAAAUAAACAUGUUUUGUGUUCCUAUAGCUCCCUGUGAAACAGCUGUACAAUGUGUACUUAGAGAAACAAAUUGACAAAUGUAAUUUAGAAGCGAAAUAUAAAAAUAACUGCUGGAACAUCAGUUAAAGGUGGGUGGGGUGCCCACAGG